rnacentral:rRNA from 1 species
GAUGAACGCUGGCGGCGUGCCUAAUACAUGCAAGUCGAGCGAACGGACGAGAAGCUUGCUUUUCUGAUGUUAGCGGCGGACGGGUGAGUAACACGUGGAUAACCUACCUAUAAGACUGGGAUAACUUCGGGAAACCGGAGCUAAUACCGGAUAAUAUUUUGAACCGCAUGGUUCAAAAGUGAAAGACGGUCUUGCUGUCACUUAUAGAUGGAUCCGCGCUGCAUUAGCUAGUUGGUAAGGUAACGGCUUACCAAGGCAACGAUGCAUAGCCGACCUGAGAGGGUGAUCGGCCACACUGGAACUGAGACACGGUCCAGACUCCUACGGGAGGCAGCAGUAGGGAAUCUGCCGCAAUGGGCGAAAGCCUGACGGAGCAACGCCGCGUGAGUGAUGAAGGUCUUCGGAUCGUAAAACGCUGUUAUUAGGGAAGAACAUAUGUGUAAGUAACUGUGCACAUCUUGACGGUACCUAAGCAGAAAGCCACGGCUAACUACGU